GAAAUGCGAUAAGUAAUGUGAAUUGCAGAAUUCAGUGAAUCAUCGAAUCUUUGAACGCACAUUGCGCCCGGCAGAUUGCUGCCGGGCAUGCCUGUCCGAGCGUCAUUUCUUCCCUCGAGCGCGGCUAGCCCUACGGGGCCUGCCGUCGCCCGGUGUUGGGGCUCUACGGGUGGGGCUCGUCCCCCCCUCAGUCCCCGAAAUGUAGUGGCGGUCCAGCCGCGGCGCCCCCUGCGUAGUAGAUCCUACAUCUCGCAUCGGGUCCCGGCGAAGGCCAGCCGUCGAACCUUUUAUUUCAUGGUUUGACCUCGGAUCAGGUAGGGUUACCCGCUGAACUUAA
rnacentral:misc_RNA from 1 species